rnacentral:rRNA from 1 species
CGGGAAUCUUCCGCAAUGGACGCAAGUCUGACGGAGCAACGCCGCGUGAGCGAUGAAGGCCUUCGGGUCGUAAAGCUCUGUUGUCAGGGAAGAACAAGUACCGGAGUAACUGCCGGUACCUUGACGGUACCUGACCAGAAAGCCACGGCUAACUACGUGCCAGCAGCCGCGGUAAUACGUAGGUGGCAAGCGUUGUCCGGAAUUAUUGGGCGUAAAGCGCGCGCAGGCGGUCCCUUAAGUCUGAUGUGAAAGCCCCCGGCUUAACCGGGGAGGGUCAUUGGAAACUGGGGGACUUGAGUGCAGAAGAGAAGAGCGGAAUUCCACGUGUAGCGGUGAAAUGCGUAGAGAUGUGGAGGAACACCAGUGGCGAAGGCGGCUCUUUGGUCUGUAACUGACGCUGAGGCGCGAAAGCGUGGGGAGCAAAC